AAAAAAACAACAGCAGAAGGUCACCAACAGGUCUUCAAUGUAGCGAGACAUUCCCGCACCCGGAGGCGUCCUUCAACUGGCCCCUAAACAAAUAUAUACUAGUUCAGUGAUAAUGAACGCCAUACUAAUUUCCAAAUUGUACACAAGAAACUAAAAUUAAAAUAAUACAAGACUAACAAAGGUCAUAGGCUCCUGACUUGGGACAGGCGCAAAAAUGCGGCGGGGUUAAACAUGUUUGUGAGAUCUCAACCCUCCCCCUAUACCUCUAGCCAAUGUAGAAAAGUAAACGCAUAACAAUACGCACAUUAAAAUUCAGUUCAAGAGAAG
rnacentral:lncRNA from 1 species